rnacentral:ribozyme from 13 species
AGAGAAGGAGAAAGAGAGAGAGAGAGAGAGAAGAGAGAAGAAGAAUUUGGUUUAUUGUAAAUAUCGUACAUUUGAUUUGAAACCUUCUUCUCCUUCUUCUUCUCUUUUAUCUCUUUCUUCUUUCUUUCCUUUCUCUCUUUC